AUCAUGUCAAGGUAGGUGGAACUGUUUCUCAGGAUUCCUUGCCAUGUCUGGUUCUGGAUUAGGGUUGGCCAGAAGAGGAUUUUGCACAGGAUUUAGGAGCAGAAGUGACCGGUGGCCUUUGCCCUCUGAAGGUCAGUGAAGAGUCGCUCCUGGUGACCCUCACCUUGCUGGCUCACUUAUUGUCACAGGACUGCAGGUGUUUACAAGUACUACUGGACAAAUGCUUGACCGCGGGCCACCAAAUGACCAUGUGACCUGAGCCACCUAUCAGGAACGGGGUGUUGCCCACUAACAAGAACUGAGGCCCAGAGAAAGAAAAGAAUUAUCCCAAAGUCACAUGGCGAGGAGGUAUAAAGAAUCAUGGUUGGAGCCAGAUCUGCCUGCUUUUGGAGCCUGUAACACACACACAAACUCUUCAAGAAAUCAAAGAAAAACUGGCAGUCCUGCAUUUUCAUGUUUAGUGACUACAUUUGUGAAGAAUGGGGACAAGUGUUAGAAGGAGAGGAGUCAUUGGUGUCAGUGGGGCACCAACUAGAAUAGUGGCUUCAUGGGAGAAGCAAGCUCCACUCCCCUGACCAACGGCUGCUGGGCAUGUGUAGCAUCUGGGGUCUGCAAUGGAAGAGGUGGGUGUCAGCACCCAUGCAGAUCACCACCUGCAGUCUCCACUGAAGUGGUUGGCAGUGGCACCACCGUUCCUUCAUUCAUUCACUCAACAUGUGUGAGCGCUUGCCGUGUUCCAAGGAGGGUAUCAGACACAGGAGGUCUCUGCUUGUAUAUCUCCUUCGAGAAUUAAAUGGGCCAAUGCAAGUCUGAGGCUUCAUACUGCUUGUCCGUUGUAAGUGCUCAGUAGAUCUACUAAUGACAGCACCUAAUCUUCAUGACAAAUUACACAUGUUCGAGAUCCAGCAGUAUUAGGCACCAACUGGAACCAUAAGAUGCCCUCACAGCAGCUCCUCCAGGACAGAGGCUAUGAUCACCUCCAUUUCACAGGUGAGGAAACUGAGGCAUGAAGAGGUCAAGUAACUUGCUCAGGGUUAUACAGUUUAAUGAAAGAUUCCUCCGUACCCCACUGUGGCUGAUUGAUUCAGGGGUGGAGAUCCCUUUCUCAGCCAGGCUAGUCCAGCAUCUCCUUCUGGGAAAUGUAAAUUUACCUGGAGAUUUGCAAGUCGGGGAGGGUGAUGGGGUGAGCCCCCUUGAAGCUCUCGGGAGGACCUUGAACCUGGGCUGCUGCAUUUCCUGCUGUGCCCCAGUUCUGCGGCUCCCAAGACCUGGAAACUCAGUUCUGUCAGCUUCCUAGUAUCUUUCUAGAAACCCUUCCCCCUUUGUUUUUCAAGUAUCCACAAUCAGAUUCUUUAUUUGCAACCACAAUAAUUUUAAUGAGGAUACCUCUGUCAAAUUAGAAAUUUAGAGAGUCAGUCUGGACGUUUAUUUUUGGAAAAGGCUUCUGGAGUGACUGUGCCUAUGGUUAAGAAACACUGCUGAAAAUGACUGAGAAACUGUACUUCAUGCAUAUUAAAAGGUUCUUAACUGCAAUAUGACAUUUCUGCAUAA